rnacentral:rRNA from 1 species
AACGCGAAGAACCUUACCUAAGCUUGACAUCCUUUUGACCGAUGCCUAAUCGUAUCUUUCCCUUCGGGGACAGAAGUGACAGGUGGUGCAUGGUUGUCGUCAGCUCGUGUCGUGAGAUGUUGGGUUAAGUCCCGCAACGAGCGCAACCCUUGCCUUUAGUUGCCAGCAUUAAGUUGGGCACUCUAGAGGGACUGCCAGGGAUAACCUGGAGGAAGGUGGGGAUGACGUCAAAUCAUCAUGCCCCUUAUGCUUAGGGCUACACACGUGCUACAAUGGGUGGUACAGAGGGCAGCCAAGUCGUGAGGCCGAGCUAAUCCCUUAAAGCCAUUCUCAGUUCGGAUUGUAGGCUGAAACUCGCCUACAUGAAGCUGGAGUUACUAGUAAUCGCAGAUCAGAAUGCUGCGGUGAAUGCGUUCCCGGGUCUUGUACACACCG